GGGGAGCGGCGCUGCUGCCGUGAGCUCCGCAGUGCGGGGGCCGGGGAGCCGGCGGGCAGCACUGCCUGGGUAGCGGGACCCUCUGGGGCCCCGGGAGYAGCGGGUGGGGGGCCGGGGUCAUCCCCCCCGACCCCAACUUCCAGCUGCGGAGGACUCUGACCCGGCACACGCCCGAGCUCCAAAGUACCCCGGCACCCUCGGGAAGCAAAUCCUCGGGAGGAGGGAUCGAUCCCUGGCUGCCCCACGAAAGAGUCUCGUUUUCCCCAUUGGUUUUGUCACAGCAUCUCCCUGAACAGAACCCGGGGGCAUCUCUUCCGCAGGAAUCUGGCUUCUCGCUGCCACCUGUUCUGACACAGUCGGCACCGAGCCUCCUCCCCGCGUACUGUGGCUCUCCUCGUGGGCAGCCCCGGCUCGGUAACGGGCACGAAGAGGGUGUUCUGCUUGGCAGAGUG
rnacentral:lncRNA from 1 species